rnacentral:rRNA from 1 species
AGAGUUUGAUCCUGGCUCAGAUUGAACGCUGGCGGCAUGCCUUACACAUGCAAGUCGAACGGCAGCACGAGAGCUUGCUCUUGGUGGCGAGUGGCGAACGGGUGAGUAAUAUAUCGGAACGUACCCUAGAGUGGGGGAUAACGUAGCGAAAGUUACGCUAAUACCGCAUACGAUCUACGGAUGAAAGUGGGGGAUCGCAAGACCUCAUGCUCAUGGAGCGGCCGAUAUCUGAUUAGCUAGUUGGUGGGGUAAAAGCUCACCAAGGCGACGAUCAGUAGCUGGUCUGAGAGGACGACCAGCCACACUGGAACUGAGACACGGUCCAGACUCCUACGGGAGGCAGCAGUGGGGAAUUUUGGACAAUGGGCGCAAGCCUGAUCCAGCAAUGCCGCGUGAGUGAAGAAGGCCUUCGGGUUGUAAAGCUCUUUUGUCAGGGAAGAAACGGUGGACUCUAAUACAGAUCACUAAUGACGGUACCUGAAGAAUAAGCACCGGCUAACUACGUGCCAGCAGCCGCGGUAAUACGUAGGGUGCAAGCGUUAAUCGGAAUUACUGGGCGUAAAGCGUGCGCAGGCGGUUGUGCAAGACAGAUGUGAAAUCCCCGGGCUCAACCUGGGAAUUGCAUUUGUGACUGCACGGCUAGAGUGUGUCAGAGGGGGGUAGAAUUCCACGUGCAGCAGUGAAAUGCGUAGAGAUGUGGAGGAAUACCGAUGGCGAAGGCAGCCCCCUGGGAUAACACUGACGCUCAUGCACGAAAGCGUGGGGAGCAAACAGGAUUAGAUACCCUGGUAGUCCACGCCCUAAACGAUGUCUACUAGUUGUCGGGUCUUAAUUGACUUGGUAACGCAGCUAACGCGUGAAGUAGACCGCCUGGGGAGUACGGUCGCAAGAUUAAAACUCAAAGGAAUUGACGGGGACCCGCACAAGCGGUGGAUGAUGUGGAUUAAUUCGAUGCAACGCGAAAAACCUUACCUACCCUUGACAUGUCUGGAAUCCUUGAGAGAUCAGGGAGUGCUCGAAAGAGAAUCAGAACACAGGUGCUGCAUGGCUGUCGUCAGCUCGUGUCGUGAGAUGUUGGGUUAAGUCCCGCAACGAGCGCAACCCUUGUCAUUAGUUGCUACGAAAGGGCACUCUAAUGAGACUGCCGGUGACAAACCGGAGGAAGGUGGGGAUGACGUCAAGUCCUCAUGGCCCUUAUGGGUAGGGCUUCACACGUCAUACAAUGGUACAUACAGAGGGCCGCCAACCCGCGAGGGGGAGCUAAUCCCAGAAAGUGUAUCGUAGUCCGGAUUGUAGUCUGCAACUCGACUACAUGAAGUUGGAAUCGCUAGUAAUCGCGGAUCAGCAUGUCGCGGUGAAUACGUUCCCGGGUCUUGUACACACCGCCCGUCACACCAUGGGAGCGGGUUUCACCAGAAGUGGGUAGCCUAACCGCAAGGAGGGCGCUCACCACGGUGGGAUUCGUGACUGGGGUGAAGUCGUAACAAGGUA